CUUCACGGAGAAGAGGCGCCAUGGCUGCUGUGAAUCUCUUGAUGGCUGAAACUCCACCUCCUCCAGGAAGUCUGCUGGAUGCCGCUGGUGCUCCAGGCUCUGGCUGCACUGGCUGCAGAAGCCUUUCCAGGCAAGCUCAUCUUGUGAGGAUCUUGGAGUCGCACCACCUGGACCUUCUCUUCAGAGACGCCUGGAGGUGGGUCCUGUGGGAGGAUGGUGUCAGAACCCGAGAGGGCAGGAGCAGAGGUCACAGUCUGCCAGCUCGCAUGAUGGGGAAACCAAGGCCUUAGAGCAAAGAGACCAGGCCCGCAGCAAGCGGGUGGCGGAGCCCAGACAAAGCCUUUCUACCCGAUGACCGGCCUCUGGGAGGGACGCGGAGAGCCCGCGCCCUGGGCGGUCCUCUCUCAUCUGGUCCUGCCGUAGCCCUGUGCACCCAGAGGCAGGAGGGGUGUCCUCCGAUGCUCAGCCUGCCCCUGGAGCCUGGAAACCUCGCCGAGUCCCCCUUCCUCCAUUCCUCACCCAGCAAUGUCCCCAGAGCCUGCGGGGAAGACAGAGAGGACCAAAUGGCUCCAGCCGGCUGCUUUUUCUCAUGUCUCCUUUUAAUUGUUUUUCUCGAUUCCCUUGCUGUCAACACCUUUUCUCAAAGUAAACCACAUAUGAAGAGUAAGAUGGACAGUGUCAUGGUUGCACAACAACAGUGUGA
rnacentral:lncRNA from 1 species